AGAUUGAACGCUGGCGGCAGGCCUAACACAUGCAAGUCGAGCGGUAGAGAGGUGCUUGCAUCUCUUGAGAGCGGCGGACGGGUGAGUAAUGCCUAGGAAUCUGCCUAGUGGUGGGGGAUAACGUUCGGAAACGGACGCUAAUACCGCAUACGUCCUACGGGAGAAAGCGGGGGACCUUCGGGCCUCGCGCCAUUAGAUGAGCCUAGGUCGGAUUAGCUAGUUGGUGAGGUAAUGGCUCACCAAGGCGACGAUCCGUAACUGGUCUGAGAGGAUGAUCAGUCACACUGGAACUGAGACACGGUCCAGACUCCUACGGGAGCA
rnacentral:rRNA from 1 species